CCUACGGGAGGCAGCAGUGGGGAAUAUUGGACAAUGGGCGAAAGCCUGAUCCAGCAAUGCCGCGUGAGUGAUGAAGGCCUUAGGGUUGUAAAGCUCUUUUACCAGGGAUGAUAAUGACAGUACCUGGAGAAUAAGCUCCGGCUAACUCCGUGCCAGCAGCCGCGGUAAUACGGAGGGAGCUAGCGUUGUUCGGAAUUACUGGGCGUAAAGCGUACGUAGGCGGUUAUUCAAGUCAGAGGUGAAAGCCUGGAGCUCAACUCCAAAACUGCCUUUGAAACUAGAUAACUAGAAUCACGGAGAGGUGAGUGGAAUUCCGAGUGUAGAGGUGAAAUUCGUAGAUAUUCGGAAGAACACCAGUGGCGAAGGCGGCUCACUGGACGUGUAUUGACGCUGAGGUACGAAAGCGUGGGGAGCAAACAGGAUUAGAUACCCUGGUAGUCCACGCCGUAAACGAUGAUAACUAGCUGCCAGGGCUCUUAGAGCUUUGGUGGCGCAGCUACGACAUUAAGUUAUCCGUCCGUCGGGAGGUACGGUCGCGAAGAAUUAAACUAACAAAGGAAAGUUAGACGGCGUGAGACGUAGACCGAACGGACGACGACGAGGGAGGUAGG
rnacentral:rRNA from 1 species